UGUUAUUUAUGACCCGUGCUUGCAUCUGCGUUCAGGACACGUCAGGACAAUAACAUUAUGUGGUUUAAGGGGUACAGAUCCAUGCAGAGAACUGGCGUGUAUAUUUGUCGAGAGAGUCGUGCACGCCAGUUUAGUUUGUGACGCAACCAAAUGCAAUAUGCGGUAAUGGCCGUAACCUAACGCCGCAACAAAAUCUAUAAAACAGGGCGCGCUCAAUACUCGCCAUAGCCUUCGCCCUGGCCUUUAUUUGUUUUCUUUUCUUUUGUCGGAGUCAGACUAAAUAUUCGCUUGACUGGAUUUCAAAUGUAAUAUUACGGAGGGGAAAGUAUGGAUAAAGGCUUUUCGAAAAUGCCCAAUAAGAUGGACACGUGACAUUAACAGUGACAUGAUUAAAAUUAAUUCACCCCGCUUAUCAAUAGACAGUUAUUUAUAGCAACUGCAGGUCAGCGCAAUUGUCCAGACAACGUAAUUCGUCCUUUUGGGAUAGGUCAGUUCGGGUCAUCGCGGUGGAUGGACUGAGCGUGCAAGUGAGGGCAACGGAGAAAAGUAGCAGGUGCACUCGCCCAUUUACCCAGAUUGCAGUAGGAACGCCGCCAUUUUUGUUGUUAUUCCUUUGUCCACUUUGCUGCUGAGUAGCCGCAUUUUCCAAUGAAAACUCAAGCAGAAUGUCGCGGCGAAAGCAGGAGAAGCCACAACAUCGGAGAACCAUCGAUUCACAUCGAGAGUAGGCCUAUUGUUGAUGAGGCAAGCAGUCAGAACAGUCCAGAACUAGAGGGUAAAGAGCUCCCUGAGCAUACUAUCUUGUGAUGUCAGCCUCAUUA